rnacentral:snoRNA from 1 species
UCUCCCACGGGCAGUUCCGCCGUUGGUGCAAUGAAAGAUCGUGCUCCACAACGGUGCAACCCACGGU